rnacentral:rRNA from 1 species
ACUUUGCUUAGAUUCUUCGGAUGAAGAGGAUUGUGACUGAGCGGCGGACGGGUGAGUAACGCGUGGGUAACCUGCCUCGUACAGGGGGAUAACAGUUAGAAAUGACUGCUAAUACCGCAUAAGACCACAGCACCGCAUGGUGCAGGGGUAAAAACUCCGGUGGUAUGAGAUGGACCCGCGUCUGAUUAGCUAGUUGGUAAGGUAACGGCUUACCAAGGCGACGAUCAGUAGCCGACCUGAGAGGGCGACCGGCCACAUUGGGACUGAGACACGGCCCAAACUCCUACGGGAGGCAGCAGUGGGGAAUAUUGCACAAUGGGGGAAACCCUGAUGCAGCGACGCCGCGUGAGCGAAGAAGUAUUUCGGUAUGUAAAGCUCUAUCAGCAGGGAAGAAAAUGACGGUACCUGACUAAGAAGCACCGGCUAAAUACGUGCCAGCAGCCGCGGUAAUACGUAUGGUGCAAGCGUUAUCCGGAUUUACUGGGUGUAAAGGGAGCGUAGACGGAUGGGCAAGUCUGAUGUGAAAACCCGGGGCUCAACCCCGGGACUGCAUUGGCAACUGUUCAUCUAGAGUGCUGGAGAGGUAAGUGGAAUUCCUAGUGUAGCGGUGAAAUGCGUAGAUAUUAGGAGGAACACCAGUGGCGAAGGCGGCUUACUGGACAGUAACUGACGU